rnacentral:rRNA from 1 species
GGUAAGGCCCUUCGGGGUACACGAGCGGCGAACGGGUGAGUAACACGUGGGUGAUCUGCCUUGCACUUCGGGAUAAGCCUGGGAAACUGGGUCUAAUACCGGAUAUGACCACUGAUCGCAUGGUUGGUGGUGGAAAGAUUUAUCGGUGCGAGAUGGGCCCGCGGCCUAUCAGCUUGUUGGUGAGGUAACGGCUCACCAAGGCGACGACGGGUAGCCGACCUGAGAGGGUGACCGGCCACACUGGGACUGAGACACGGCCCAGACUCCUACGGGAGGCAGCAGUGGGGAAUAUUGCACAAUGGGCGAAAGCCUGAUGCAGCGACGCCGCGUGCGGGAUGACGGCCUUCGGGUUGUAAACCGCUUUUGACAGGGACGAAGCGCAAGUGACUGUACCUGUAGAAUAAGGACCGGCCAACUACGUGCCAGCAGCCGCGGUAAUACGUAGGGUCCGAGCGUUGUCCGGAAUUACUGGGCGUAAAGAGCUUGUAGGCGGUUCGUCGCGUCGUUUGUGAAAACUUGGGGCUCAACCUUAAGCUUGCAGGCGAUACGGGCGGACUAGAGUACUUCAGGGGAGACUGGAAUUCCUGGUGUAGCGGUGAAAUGCGCAGAUAUCAGGAGGAACACCGGUGGCGAAGGCGGGUCUCUGGGAAGUAACUGACGCUGAGAAGCGAAAGCAUGGGUAGCAAACAGGAUUAGAUACCCUGGUAGUCCAUGCCGUAAACGGUGGGUACUAGGUGUGGGGCUCCUUCCACGGACUCCGUGCCGUAGCUAACGCAUUAAGUACCCCGCCUGGGGAGUACGGCCGCAAGGCUAAAACUCAAAUGAAUUGACGGGG